rnacentral:rRNA from 1 species
UACGUAGGGUGCAAGCGUUGUCCGGAAUUAUUGGGCGUAAAGAGCUCGUAGGCGGUUUGUCGCGUCUGCUGUGAAAACUCGGGGCUUAACUCCGGGCCUGCAGUGGGUACGGGCAGACUAGAGUGCGGUAGGGGAGACUGGAAUUCCUGGUGUAGCGGUGAAAUGCGCAGAUAUCAGGAGGAACACCGAUGGCGAAGGCAGGUCUCUGGGCCACUACUGACGCUGAGAAGCGAAAGCGUGGGGAGCGAACGGG